rnacentral:lncRNA from 1 species
UGAUUCCACAGGAGACCGGCAGAUGGAAGAUGAAACAGUGAAUGAGCCCUUUGACCUCUUUGGGACACCCAGAGUUCCAGUGACCCCACGGUGUCAGCUGAACAAGUUCCGUUGGUGUCUGUAAUUGGGUAGCUCUGUAUUAGACACAGAGACUGUUGGGAAUAACAACCGUGGAGGGAAACUGUUUGAGUUAAUUGCACUGCUGCUGAGAUUGUGUCAUUUGGAUUCUGGGAAAUAAAAGAUUUAACCUCAUCCAGGUCAGAGGCCAGUCUUUUGGACAUCAGGAAUCACCAGGGAUAAGAGGUGGGGCUGUUCCGAAGCCCAUGCUUGUGGAGGUGGCACAGCUGUGAGAGUGUUGACCUUGGAGAUUUGGCCCCAGAAGGGUGAGCAUCUGUUAGCUGCUCCUCUCAGGGGAUGGUUUGGGGAGGGGCAGAGUGGGGACUGGGAACCAAGAGAGUGGAGAGGAAGGACUCAGGGACUUUAGAUUUUAUUGCAUUGUUAUUAUUAUUUUUAACUUAAAUUUUUUCUGGGUUAUACAUGUAUUAUCACACAAAACCUAUUUCCUUAUUAUUCACUUUUGCAAGUGAAUAAUCUUAUAAAACCCAAAGC